UGGAAGGGUAGCGAAGAGGCUAAACGCGGCGGACUGUAAAUCCGCUCCUUCGGGUUCGGGGGUUCGAAUCCCUCCCCUUCCAUUUUACGGGCAUAGUUUAAAGGUAGAACUAAGGUCUCCAAAACCUUCAGUGUGGGUUCAAUUCCUACUGCCCGUGUUAA
rnacentral:tRNA from 7 species